AGAAAGAUGAAGAUGGAAGCGUCUGUUAAACCACCUGAGGAAUAAAGAUACAGAGUGUUACAGAGCAGCUUAGUUUGGAAUGGACCUCUACAUCCAAUUCAACAUCCUGCAGAGUUCAAAGGUGAGAGCAGCAGUUGCUUUGCCUUCCUCAGGAGAUUGCAAGUUUAUCUGGUCUUAUGCCAGGAGAGAAGGAAAAAAGUAAAGGGUCUGCUCCCUAGGAGAUGCAGGCCACAGGAUCAGAGUGACAAACAUCUUUAUUAAGCCCCAAACCCUUCAGGAGAGACAUCUAUCCUUGAUUAAAGGCUCUGAGGGGUAGAGCCCAGUAUGCACCUAGUAAAUUUUCCCAAUGUGUGUUCACUCUCACUGCUAAAAAUAUGUCACAUUUCUAAUUGCAUAUUAUUGAAUUUUCCUUUAAUGCUACUGAUCAUUAUAUUACAGUAUAAGCUCAGAAAUUGCUGUAAGUUUAACUCUUUUUAUAUUUUAUUGAUGACUGCUAUUUUUCUAGUCAGUCUUGGAUCAAUUAAUGACAUUCCCUGAAAUAUCCUUCACGGUCUCUGCAUUGACUAAUGUUAUAUUAAAACACAUUUAGACAAAAAGGUUAAAACCCUUUCAUGUAAUGCAAUUAGAGUGAGCACGCUUUUACAUCCAUCAGAUGAGAAAUCCAUUGCACACAAUCCAUCACACAGUAUGGAUUUCAGGUGAAAAAACUCAGAUUUUGCUGUCUCUUGUGAAGUCACCUGAGGCAGAUAUUUGGAGUUCUAUUGCAAACAUGAAACUAAAAUGA